rnacentral:ncRNA from 1 species
UUACCUUUGUGCCGUUUUGGUGCCUGAGGCUGUGAUGUACAGUCCAAUGGCUUAAUAGGGAAUCCCGUAGAUCCGGGAGCUGUCCCCGCAACUGUAAGUCUUAAAAGGUUGAUUUUAAACUUCAGGCCACUGUCCGGCAUGGAUGGGAAGGCGCAAAAUCAAUACGACGAGCCAGGAGACCUGCCAAUCAUUUUGUUGCACUG